AGUGAACGCUGGCGGUAGGCCUAACACAUGCAAGCCGAACGGCAGCACAGUAAGAGCUUGCUCUUACGGGUGGCGAGUGGCGGACGGGUGAGGAAUAUAUCGGAAUCUACUUUUUCGUGGGGGAUAACGUAGGGAAACUUACGCUAAUACCGCAUACGACCUACGGGUGAAAGCAGGGGAUCUUCGGACCUUGCGCGAUUGAAUGAGCCGAUGUCGGAUUAGCUAGUUGGCGGGGUAAAGGCCCACCAAGGCGACGAUCCGUAGCUGGUCUGAGAGGAUGAUCAGCCACACUGGAACUGAGACACGGUCCAGACUCCUACGGGAGGCAGCAGUGGGGAAUAUUGGACAAUGGGCGCAAGCCUGAUCCAGCCAUACCGCGUGGGUGAAGAAGGCCUUCGGGUUGUAAAGCCCUUUUGUUGGGAAAGAAAAGCAGCAGGUUAAUACCCCGCUGUUCUGACGGUACCCAAAGAAUAAGCACCGGCUAACUUCGUG
rnacentral:rRNA from 1 species